GCGUUCAGGAGAAAGGGGAAAAACAACAACGACAUUAACAGAGAAAUACCAACUGUCAUGUUCUUUUUGUUUGACAGUGCUGGAACUACAGUGUAUUUGUGGGCAUCAAUAGGAAGUGAUUCCUUCCACGGUUGCUAACUUGGCACUUGUUGCAGUCAGCAGUUAAACCAGAAACAAACUUGUCUCACAGUGAAAGUGACGAUGAGCCUCACAGAUGGCAUUUUGAGUCCAUUUUAUUUGUUAUUUUUAAUCAGUAGCGAGUCUGAUGAUAAUUUUUCGUCAACACAGAAGCUGUGGGAGACACAACAAGCGAAGGAGACCAGGUGAAGAGGUGCAGUGAAAACUCAUAGUAAGAGCUAGUUAGACAUUGUAGGGAGUUAAAAGGUGUCGGGAAGAAGAGAUGAGUCUUCAUCAGAGGGCGAGGAGGAGCAUGAGGCUGAAUGAUUUGAGCUCGAGUGGAUGGUGCAGACCCAGAAGCGACUCUGAAAGCAGCAUUAGUGACUUGAAUUUGAUUCAGGCGGCCAUGCGGGAGCCGGUGGAGGUCAAUGAGAAGCAGAGUGACAUGUGACCUUUUGGGCUGAUUGAAGACCAGACAGGCUGCUGCAUUCCAGACCAUCUGCGAGGGUCUCGCUGUCAGAAGUGCAUUGCAGCAGUCGAGGGGAGAAAUAACCACGUCCUUGGUGGUGUAGUGAGUCAGAGGAAAGACCCGAGACAGACGGGGUUUUAAAGGAUCUUGUCUCUUAGCGAUGAGACAAACAAGGAAGAAGCAGAAGUCACCGCCUCACUCCCUGGUCUUCUCAGAUCUCAGAGAGUCUGGAAACCGAGCAGAGCUUCGACUGAGCCUCCCCAACAGGAGUUUGAUCUGACGGCCCCCGUCACACGCCGAAAUAAAAUCCGGCGUGAGUGAGAGAAUGGGAGCACCUUGGUGGUGGGAAGUGUGACGAAUCUCCGAGCCAGCUUGUCUCGGCAUAUGCAACGUUAAAUAAUGCACCAUUCCAGAUGGUUAACCUUCUAAACCCCAGACUGCCUUUGGCUCCACAUUCACAGGAUGCCAGAAGAGCCUCGGGCAGAGAGCACAGGGAUUCAUGAGGACCGAGGAGAGACCACGAGUCACUGCUGCUGUCUGUGACGCUCGCUACGUGUCCGUGCAGCAGAACCAGAGAUGAACUUUUAGUUCGACACGUAUUAGUCACUAGAGCUGUCGCCGAGAACAUGAAGAGAAAUGUUAUUUUUACCAGUAAACUGCUUUAAUUAAA